GCCCGAAUGGUCUAGUGGUAUGAUUCUUGCUUUGGGCCUUAAAUCCAAAUUGCAAGAGGCCCCGCGUUCGAUCCGCGGUUCGGGCC